rnacentral:rRNA from 1 species
UACGGGGGGGGCAAGCGUUGUUCGGAAUUACUGGGCGUAAAGGGCUCGUAGGUGGCCAACUAAGUCAGACGUGAAAUCCCUCGGCUUAACCGGGGAACUGCGUCUGAUACUGGAUGGCUUGAGUUUGGGAGAGGGACGCGGAAUUCCAGGUGUAGCGGUGAAAUGCGUAGAUAUCUGGAGGAACACCGGUGGCGAAGGCAGCCUCCUGGGCUAGUACUGACGCUCAUGCACGAAAGCGUGGGGAGCAAACAGGA